rnacentral:rRNA from 1 species
GACGAACGCUGGCGGCGUGCUUAACACAUGCAAGUCUACGAUGCUUGUUCAGCAAUGGAUAAAGUAGAGUGGCGCACGGGUGCGUAACGCGCAGGUAAUCUACCUUACAGACGGAAAUAACACUUCCAACGAGGUGCUAAUAUCCGAUACCACAAACGGCUCGCAUGAGUUGAUUGUGAAAACCUUCGGGGCUGUAAGAUGAGCCUGCGUCCCAUUAGGUAGUUGGUGAGGUAAAGGCCCACCAAGCCGACGAUGGGUAGCUGGUCUGAGAGGACGAUCAGCCACACUGGAACUGAGACACGGUCCAGACUCCUACGGGAGGCAGCAGUGAGGAAUAUUGCACAAUGGGCGCAAGCCUGAUGCAGCAACGCCGCGUGAGGGACGAAGGCCUUCGGGUCGU